GGAGAGGGAGCAUGAGAAACGGCUACCACAUCUAAGGAAGGCAGCAGGCGCGUAAAUUACCCAAUCCUGACUCAGGGAGGUAGUGACAAGAAAUAGCAAACCGGGGAUCUCACGAUCUUACGGUAUUGCAAUGAGAACAAUUUAAAACACUUAGCGAGGAACAAAUUGAGGACAAGUCUGGUGCCAGCACCCGCGGUAAUUCCAGCUCAAUUAGCGUAUAUUAAAGUUGUUGCAGUUAAAAAGCUCGUAGUUGAACCUCUGUUUGGGACUAAUUUUGGCUUCUGUCAGGUUAGUUUCAAGCAUCCGCUUGCAAAACCUAGCCGUCAUUCACUUGUCGCUAGGAGGAGCAGGCAUUUUACUUUGAAAAAAUUAGAGUGUUUAAGGCAGGCAAUUGCCCGCAUAUAUUAGCAUGGAAUAAUAGAAUAGGACACUUUUCCAUUUCGUUGGUUAUUGGAAUCGUGUAAUGAUUAAUAGGGACAGUUGUGGGCAUUUGUAUUUAAUUGUCAGAGGUGAAAUUCUUGGAUUUAUUAAAGACAAACUAACGCGAAAGCAUUUGCCAAGGAUGUUUUCAUUAAUCAAGAACGAAAGUUAGGGGAUCAAAGACGAUCAGAUACCGUCAUAGUCUUAACUAUAAACUAUUCCGACUCAAUGUUCGACUGGCUUAUAUAACCAGUUGAGCGUUGUAUGAGAAAUCAAAGUCUUUAGGUUCUGGGGGGAGUAUGGUUGCAAAGCUGAAACUUAAAGGAAUUGACGGAAGAGCACAACCAGGAGUGGAUUCUGCGGCUUAAUUUGACUCAACACGGGGAAACUUACCAGGUUAAAACAAUAGUGGGAUUGACAGUUUGAGAGCGCUUUCUUGAUUCGUUGGGUGGUGGUGCAUGGCCGUUCUUAGUUGGUGGAGUGAUUUGUCUGCUUAAUUGCGUUAACGAACGAGACCUUAACCUGCUUACUAGACUGCCGAUGUAUAAUCGACAGCUCUUCUUAGAGGGACUUUGGUUGUUUUAACUCCAAGGAAGUUUGAGGCAAUAACAGGUCUGUGAUGCCCUUAGAUAUCCUGGGCCGCACGCGUCAUACAAUGACCAGUUCAGAAAGUUUCAUCCUGAUCCGGAAGGAUACGGGUAAUCUUGACAGUACUGGUCGUGUUAGGGAUCGAUCUUUGCAAUUAUAGAUUUUGAACGAGGAAUUCCUAGUAAGUGCAGUUCAUCAGACUGUACUGAUUACGUCCCUGCUCUUUGUACACACCGCCCGUCGCUUCUACCGAGUGAGUGGUCCGGUGAGAUACUUGAACUUGGCCGGAUUUAUCCGAUCGGGGAAGAUUAUCAAACCUAUCCACUUCGAGGAAGAAGAAGUCGUAACAAGGUU
rnacentral:rRNA from 1 species